rnacentral:pre_miRNA from 16 species
ACCCAGCUGGUCUCAUCUGCAAGUGCUAAGUAGUGGUGCCGCAGGUAACCUAUGUGCGAUUACCUGCCGCCUGCUGCUUACCAUUUGUACGUGAAUUCAACCCGU